rnacentral:rRNA from 1 species
AGAGACCCCGAGCAUUAUCCGGAUUUAUUGGGCGUAAAGCGUUCGUAGGUGGUUUCGUAAGUCAUUUGUUAAAUAUUCAGGCUUAACCUGGAGGCUGCAGGUGAUACUGCGAGGCUAGAGUAUGGGAGAGGCAGACGGAAUGCCCGGUGUAGCGGUAAAAUGCGUUAAUAUCGGGUAGAACACCAAAGGCGAAAGCAGUCUGCUGGAACAUUACUGACACUGAGGAACGAAAGCGUGGGUAGCGAAAGGGAUUAGAUACCCCUGUAGUCCACGCCGUAAACUAUGGCCACUAGAUUUUGGGAGUAUCGACCCUCCCAGAGUCGUUGAAACAAGGUAACGCGUUAAGUGGCCCGCCUGGGAAAUACGAUCGCAAGAUUA